AUUGAACGCUGGCGGCAGGCCUAACACAUGCAAGUCGAACGAGUGGCGGACGGGUGAGCAAUGUCUGGGAAACUGCCCGAUGGAGGGGGAUAACAACUGGAAACGGCAGCUAAUACCGCAUACCAUCGGAUGUGCCCAGAUGGGAUUAGCUAGUAGUUGGGGUAACGGCUCACCUAGGCGACGAGCCCUAGCUGGUCUGAGAGGAUGACCAGCCACACGGGAACUGAGACACGGCCCAGACUCCUACGCGAGGCAGCAGUGGGGAAAAUUGCACAAUUGGCGCAAGCCUGAUGCAGCCAUGCCGCGUGUGUGAAGAAGGCCUUCGGGUUGUAAAGUACUUUCAGCAGGGAAGCGUUACUCGCAGAAGAAGCACCGGCUAACUCCGUGCCAGCCGCCGCGGUAAUAC
rnacentral:rRNA from 1 species